AUUGAACGCUGGCGGCAGGCAUAACACAUGCAAGUCGAACGAGAGGCGGACGGGGGAGUAAUGUCUGGGAAACUGCCUGAUGGAGGGGGAUAACUACUGGAAACGGGAGCUAAUACCGCAUACCAUCAGAUGUGCCCAGAUGGGAGUAGCUUGUUGGUGGGGGAAAGGCUCACCAAGGCGACGAUCCAUAGCUGGUCGGAGAGGAUUACCAGCCACACUGGAACUGAGGCACGGUCCAGACUCCUCCGGGAGGCAGCAUUGGGGAAUAUUGCACAAUGGUCGCAAGCCUGAUGCAGCCAUGCCGCGUGUAUGAAGAAGGCCUUCGGGUUGUAAAGUACUUUCAGCGGGGAGGCGUUACCCGCAGAAGAAGCACCGGCUAACUCCGUGCCAGCCGCCGCGGUAAUAC
rnacentral:rRNA from 1 species